rnacentral:lncRNA from 1 species
UUAAAAGCGGUCCUGAUUGGGAAUUGUCAUAAUUGGUCCGGUUCCCAUUAAAUUUCAGGAACCGACAGGGUCCGUCCUAAUCCGGGUAUUGAGAAUUGUCAUAAUUGGUCUGGUUCCCAUUAUACUUCAGUAACAUCAAUAUCUUCGGCCAGGCCUAUAUCCGGUUGUGAUAGAAAGGACCGAGUGUAUAGUUGUUCUAUCUUGAAGCACUUUGAUAGGGGCUAUCUCUAUGUUGAACCCCUGUUUGAUGGGGGGAACUUUGUUGUGUUUGCACAUGGAACCCACUACAUAUCACGCGAGGCCCCAAGGAAUAAUUGCCCCGUUAAUUUCGG